AAACACGCGCUAAAUUUCGGGUUUUAAAAUACACAUUCGGAUUUUUUAACUGUACACUUUAUUCCAACUGCUUGGCAGUGACACGUGCUUUUUGCUUAGUGUCUUUAAGUUUUUAGCUAAUUGUAAAGCUUUCAUUAUAGUUUUUCUGUGUUUUUGUUUAAUAAUUGUUCGCCAAUUUUUGCUUGUUAGAAAUUUCGAUUUAAUUGGUUUUUUUUUUUAUUCUAUUCUGUUAUGUUUUUAGUGUGGCUUUUGUGGCGCUGAAUGUUCAACUAACUUCUGACUGGCACACGCGCUCGUUUCGUUGCAAAGUGUAGAAACACGCCGCCUUAAACGAGAGAGAUAUACAGAGAGAGCGGCUAAGGGCGAACUCACAAAUACACAUACGAAAUAUGCUCAAAUCACAGAUACAAAUACACGGCCGAUUGCUCUCUCUUUUUUACCCGCGUGUUUUGGCUUUUCUUAUUUUUGGCAAACUUUUUCGUUCAGCGCGCGCAACUUAAAAAAUAAAAGCCAAAUUAAAACUGAUACUAAGAUAAAGGUGCAUUCAAAUUGAAAUUAAUAGUUUUAACAAGCUUGAGCUUAAGCUCAAACUUUGUUAUUCCCUUCCUAAGCGUACCGCCCAAAGCUUAGCUAUUGCACUGGCAAAAAAAAAUCAUACAAAUUUAAAUAUGAAAAAAUACUAUGCCAAGCACGUUAAAAGAAAUUUUUAGUUGACUCAAAUGAAUAUGUUUGAAACUAAUUGUUUUUAUUUAUUUAUUAAUUUUCUUUAAAUUAGCACAUAGAAAAUCUUACUAUUUACUAGUUAUCUAUUUAAUCUUUGCUUUUGCAGAAAUAUCAACCUUUUUUAAACAAAAUACUUUAAUAAAAUCGAUCAUGCCUUGAUUAUUUUCUCAGUGUAUUCCUUCUAAUUGCCUUCUAAUCAUUUGGCCGCUCACUUACACGCGCGCAAAACUUUUGGCAUUUUCCACUGUGUCUCAAAGUUCAUUUUUUUCACAUUGCGUCUCUCUCUCUCUGGCGACUCUCUCAAAAAGUAUCUCGCGGAUGGCCGGAGUAUCUGAGAGAUCGCUGGCGAGCCGGCCUGUGUGGCUCUGGGUGAAUUUUUAUUUAUUUUGUUUCAUUUUAAUUUACUCAUGCAAAAGUGUUGAUUUUUUGUUCAGCUCUGCCUGGCUAUUACGUCAAUGGAACAAGAACGCUGACGUUUGUAGUUGUACAUACGAACACGAGUAUCUCUAUCUGUAUCUGUAUCUUCGGCCGCGGCUGUAGAUGUAUCUGUACCUUUGGCACUGCGGCAACUACAGUGUUCAUUUCAAUGUUUUUAGGUUCUGUUCUUCUCUUUCUCUCCCUCUCUGAUUUAUCUGCCAUUCGCGAGUUUAUUUUUCACUAUUUCGGUUGUAUUUUUUUUUGCGAUUUAUUUGUUGUUUUUUUUUUUUGUUUUGUUAAUAAUUCUAACAUGUAUUUUGCGGCGACGUCGACGCCAGCAGCGCUCACUUUAACCGAAUCGCAUUGGCUGAGUUUCGGUUUCAUCGGCUCCGUUCUCAAGUGGCGCAUUUUUCAUCAUCUGUUGACACUUUUGCCGCUCCAACGGUAGGCGACCGCAAAAACAAACACAAAUACAAACAGAAGGGAAAAGGAAAAGAAAAACAAAACCGGGCUCAACACAGUGCGAUAGGCGAGCGAGCGAGAUGGAUGCGGAGUGUGACAGAGAAGGCACUUCAGCUGCAAUUUAAUACAAACUCGCUCGAAAAUCCGCUGAGUACUCAACGAAUCAAGAAUGGGCUGAAAUGAUGCAAAUAUGGGGGCACCACAAUUGAUUGUUGUGGCUGCUAAUUAAGCCUGCGUGUGCCAGUCUCCGUUUCCUUCAACCAUCCCUAUGAAUGUUUAUGUUUUGAUAGGCAAUUUUCAAUUAAUACAUAUGUGUAUUUAUUUAGGGUAAAAGAAAAUUCUGUUCACAGUAUCAAUUAUUACACCCGCAUACACACUUUUUUCGAGGGAAGAUGAAUUUGUUUAAUAAACAAAGAAAAAUGAAUUAUUUCUUAUUUACUCAUUACGAGAAGCAGGCAUACAUACAUUUCUGUAUAUUUACUAUUUUACAUAUGUAUAUACUUUGUUCCUAAUGACAUAAAAACUAAGCUUUCUUUAACCAUCAAACUCACUUCAAUUUCCGAAGAAAUCAUUAAAAUAUCGUAACAAAAUAUUAUUGCCUACCUUUUGGCGCUUAAGUACGCUAUUUUUCGAAACUAAUAGUUUGGAUAAGUACAUUUUAUUUAAGCUAAUAAUAUUGAUUUUCUAUUGGGCAUUUAACCCAGUGUAUUUUGCUUUACAAAUUUUGUUACUAGGCCAAACCAGUUAUUUGAGUAGCUUUUUCAAACGCUUGAGCUUGGCCUUGCGCAUUUCAUGUCCCAAAUAAUCGAAUUAAAUUAGCUCUUAGUCGUUCCCAUAUUCUCUGCCUGCCACAAUUGUUAUAAAGUUUUUGCUGAUCCAAUUUUUGUGCAAUUUUAUAUGUCUCAUGAAAUUGUAUGGCCAAUAUAAUUUCAGAAGUAUUCUGUUUAUUUUGUUGCACUCACACACACGCACGAGCACCGCACACACGCACAGUUGUCAUAAAUAAAAAGCUCUCUGGUUUAUUGGACAUUUUCAUUAAAUGCUGCUCUUCAGCUGCUGCUGCUUCUUCUUCAUUUUAGUUUUGCGGUGUCUGCGGUUGUUUUUAUUGCUUUUAUUGCUUGUAUUGUCGUUGUUGCAAAUUGAUUGCCUGCAAUUUGUAUGCGAAAGAGCGCAAAAUGUACCGUUGCUGUAGGUCUUUAUGGCGCCUUUUAAUUGAGCCACACACACAUGUAUGUAUUGUAUGUAUUGUUGUGUGUUAUUAUGUGUGUGUAAGCCCAGCUCUCUCUUUCCGACUCUCACGUUCUCUUUAUCUUGCGCGAAAUACUCUAUGUAAAUUGGCGCUUUUAUUGGCGUGGCAAUGAACGAUCGUGAUUUCUUUUUGUUGUUGUCGGCUUUCAACACGUGUAGAUUGAUAUCGUUCUCUCUACGCUGUAGUUUACACUGUUACAAAAUGGCUUGUAAUUCAGUUAAGUAUAUUUUGUGAUAUGUGCUAUUUAAUUUGUUCCGAGCUUUGAUAAACUAGGCAACCCGUUUAGUAAAUUACUUCCUGUAGCAAAUAUAUCUUACUUUAGAUAAAAUCUGAAUAGAAAUAAGCUGCAGUACUAAUUUCUUCCAGUGCCUUACUAAUUACACAUCCAGACACACAUACUGUGAUACAACAGACUGACACACACACACACAGCUGCAGAUUACACCGCAAACCGCAAUACAUGUGUAUGACAUAAUAUUAAUUUUUGCAGUCGCCGUCGACGCGGCGACUCCCCCAUUUCAGUUCCAGUCUGCGUCCACAGAGCCCCCCAUCCAAUGACCCUCCGCCCACAUCCCCACCUCCCCCCUGCUGCAGCGCACAGUUCGCAUUCGCAAUUUGAAUGGGUUCCAGCGGGUGCAAGCGAGAUGGCCUGCUUAUUACCGCACUUGAUGGCGCUGCAGUUUUGUUUAGAUUUCGCCGGUUUUCGUUAUUGCAAAUUGACGUAAUGGCCAGUGGAAACGAGCUGGCAGAAGAAUAAGAAGAAGCCAGGAAAACCAAGUUGGAUUAAGCAGGAAAAUAGUAGAGGAAACGAAAAGGAGAGGCCGCAACUUUUGCUGACUUUUCGAAUAUUUAAUAUGCACUCUUGAGCUUGAAGAUAAAUAAUGUCCACGAAUCAGCGGUGGCUAAGGAUUAUCAGUUAACAAAAGCGGUAUUUGCUGACCAGUUUAAAUCGGGAUUUCAUAAAAUAGUACAAGGAGCAUUUCUUAAUAUCUUAGAUUGAGUAAAGUUAAAGAAAAUCUAGAAUAA